rnacentral:tRNA from 1 species
CGGGGUGUAGCGCAGCCUGGUAGCGCACCUGAUUUGGGAUCAGGGGGUCGAGAGUUCGAAUCCCUCCACCCCGA